GACGAACGCUGGCGGCGUGCCUAAUACAUGCAAGUCGAACGCAGUGGGGACGGGUGAGUAACACGUGGGUAACCUCCCAUCAGAGGGGAUAACACUUGGAAACAGGUGCUAAACCGAUACUGAUGGAUGGACCCGCGGUGCAUUAACUAGUUGUUUAGGUAACGGCUCACCAAGGACACGAGGCAUAGCCGCACUGCGCUGGUGAUCGGCCACACUGGGACUGAGACACGGCCCAUACUCCUACGGGCGGCAGCAGUAGGGAAUCUGCGGCAAUGGACGAAAUUCUGACCGAGCAACGCCGCGUGAGUGAAGAAGGUUUUCGGAUCGUAAAACUCUGUUGUUAGAGAAGCGGUAUCUAACCAGAAAGCCACGGCUAACUCCGUGCCAGCCGCCGCGGUAAUAC
rnacentral:rRNA from 1 species